AUUGAACGCUGGCGGCAGGCCUAACACAUGCAAGUCGAACGGUAACAGGAAGAAGCUUGCUUCUUUGCUGACGAGUGGCGGACGGGUGAGUAAUGUCUGGGAAACUGCCUGAUGGAGGGGGAUAACUACUGGAAACGGUAGCUAAUAACGCAUAACGUCGCAAAACCAAAGAGGGGGACCUUCGGGCCUCUUGCCAUCGGAUGUGCCCAGAUGGGAUUAGCUAGUAGGUGGGGUAACGGCUCACCUAGGCGACGAUCCCUAGCUGGUCUGAGAGGAUGACCAGCCACACUGGAACUGAGACACGGUCCAGACUCCUACGGGAGGCAGCAGUGGGGAAUAUUGCACAAUGGGCGCAAGCCUGAUGCAGCCAUGCCGCGUGUAUGAAGAAGGCCUUCGGGUUGUAAAGUACUUUCAGCGGGGAGGAAGGGAGUAAAGUUAAUACCUUUGCUCAUUGACGUUACCCGCAGAAGAAGCACCGGCUAACUCCGUG
rnacentral:rRNA from 1 species